rnacentral:rRNA from 1 species
UACGUAGGGGGCAAGCGUUGUCCGGAAUUAUUGGGCGUAAAGCGCGUGUAGGCUGUCCGAUAAGUCUGCCGUGAAAGUCCAGGGCUCAACCCUGGAAUGCCGGUGGAUACUGUCGGGCUGGAGUCCGGAAGAGGCCAGUGGAAUUCCCGGUGUAGCGGUGAAAUGCGCAGAUAUCGGGAGGAACACCAAUAGCGAAGGCAGCUGGCUGGGACGGUACUGACGCUGAGACGCGAAAGCGUGGGGAGCAAACAGG